rnacentral:rRNA from 1 species
GACAGAGGCCUCGAGCGUUAGGCGGAAUCACUGGGCUUAAAGCGUGUGUAGGCGGAUCGUUAAGUGCCUUGUGAAAUCCCACGGCUUAACUGUGGAACGGCUGGGCAUACUGGCGGUCUUGAGCCAUCUAGGGGCGACUGGAACAAACGGUGGAGCGGUGAAAUGCGUAGAUAUCGGGAGGAACACCAGUGGCGAAGGCGGUUGCCUGGAGCUUUGCUGACGCUGAGGCGCGAAAGCUAGGGGAGCGAACGGG